CCGUUAUCCCGUGGUGAUUUGGCCGGUCGGCUUGCAGCCACGUUAAACAAGUGGCUAAAAGGACCGGGUUGAAAACCG
rnacentral:ncRNA from 2 species